UGGGGAAUAUUGGACAAUGGGCGAAAGCCUGAUCCAGCCAUGCCGCGUGUGUGAAGAAGGUCUUCGGAUUGUAAAGCACUUUAAGUUGGGAGGAAGGGCAGUAAGCGAAUACCUUGCUGUUUUGACGUUACCGACAGAAGAAGCACCGGCUAACUCUGUGCCAGCAGCCGCGGUAAUACAGAGGGUGCAAGCGUUAAUAGGAAUUACUGGGCGUAAAGCGCGCGUAGGUGGUUCGUUAAGUUGAAUGUGAAAGCCCCGGGCUCAACCUGGGAAAUGCAUCCAAAACUGGCGAGCUAGAGUAGGGCAGAGGGUGGUGGAAUUUCCUGUGUAGCGGUGAAAUGCGUAGAUAUAGGAAGGAACACCAGUGGCGAAGGCGACCACCUGGGCUCAUACUGACACUGAGGUGCGAAAGCGUGGGGAGCAAACAGG
rnacentral:rRNA from 1 species